CAAUCUCAUGUUACAACCGGUCAAAAUUGGUCACAAAUAGUCACAACAAACACAAAUUUGGUCACAUGAGGUCACCACAAACAAAUAUGAACUCAUUGCGAUCAGUAUCAUAAUUUGCUCCUGUUUCAAAGUAAUAAUCGAGAUAAAAAUGAUGUUUCCUAGCCCCAGAAGACAAGGAUGGAUGAAGGACAGGCCACUACAUUUUUGCCAACCGUAAAUUUGUGACAAUUGCUAAAAAGAGGCAAAAUCUCUCUUUCCUUCUCUUCUACCAGCAAACACACAAUCGAAGUAAUAGAGCACUUUUCAAUUGAGAAGAUUCAAUUAUCUGGCACUACAUUGGCCUCCCUCAUUCAUCGUGUCUUUGCUGCCAUCGGCAACCUCACCACUACCAUAUCCUCUAUCUCCAUUUAAACCAUACCCAACCACCACCACCACCCAAAAUUCCACAUACCCGUUGCCACCACCACCGCACCACCCACAAAACACCACGACCACCAUCAUCUCCUCUCUCCAUUUAAACCGAACCCAACCACCAUCCCCACCAAAAAAACCCACAAACAAGCCAUCACCACUACCAUAGUACACUAUCACAGCCUACACAAUAACCAUCUCAAAAACGUCAACAAAACUUGUUGAAAAAUUUACCAAAAAAUCAUACGAUCUAUAAAACCACACAAAAGUCUGUAACACCGCACAAAAAGCCUAAAUCGUCGUCGUGAUCCGAAACGCCGAAAAAGAGUUUAGUCCGUAUCGUUGCGCCUCAACUCCACCGGCGAUGUGACCAUCCCAGCGCAUCCACUUAGGUGAAGAGACAAAUCUGUGCAUCCACUCCAAUGCCGCACUCAACUUUGGAGUUGUCUGUCAAAGAAGGAUUGGUGUAAAGAGAGAAUGGGGGAAGCAGUGAUUUUAGAAAGAGAAUAUGAAAUGUAGAGAAAGAGAGAUGAGAGUCAAUAGAGAGAGAAGACAGAAAUGUUGGGAGAGAGAUAAG
rnacentral:lncRNA from 1 species